rnacentral:rRNA from 1 species
UAGAGUUUGAUCAUGGCUCAGGACGAACGCUGGCGGCGCGCUUAACACAUGCAAGUCGAGCGAGAACCGGGCCCUCGGGCCCGGGGAAAGCGGCGAACGGGUGAGUAACACGUGGGUAAUCUGCCCUCGGCACCGGGAUAGCCCGGGGAAACUCGGAUUAAUACCGGAUUGCCUCCGGAGCCUUCGGGCGCCGGAGAAAAGGAGGCUUCGGCUUCCGGCUGAGGAUGAGCCCGCGGCGGAUUAGCUUGUUGGCGGGGUAACGGCCCACCAAGGCGACGAUCCGUAGCUGGUCUGAGAGGAUGAUCAGCCACACUGGGACUGAGACACGGCCCAGACUCCUACGGGAGGCAGCAGUGGGGAAUAUUGGACAAUGGGCGCAAGCCUGAUCCAGCCAUGCCGCGUGGGUGAUGAAGGCCCUAGGGUUGUAAAGCCCUUUCGGCGGGGAAGAUAAUGACGGUACCCGCAGAAGAAGCCCCGGCUAACUCCGUGCCAGCAGCCGCGGUAAUUC